rnacentral:rRNA from 1 species
UACGGGGGGGGUAAGCGUUGUUCGGAAUUACUGGGCGUAAAGGGCUCGUAGGCGGCCAACUAAGUCAGACGUGAAAUCCCUCAGCUUAACUGGGGAACUGCGUCUGAUACUGGAUGGCUUGGAUUCGGGAGAGGAAUGCGGAAUUCCAGGUGUAGCGGUGAAAUGCGUAGAUAUCUGGAGGAACACCGGUGGCGAAGGCGGCAUUCUGGACUGCAACUGACACUGAAAGACGAAAGCCAGGGGAGCAAACGGG